GAUGAAGCACGUAGCGAAAUGCGAUACGUAAUGUGAAUUGCAAAUUCAGUGAAUCAUCGAGUCUUUGAACGCACAUUGCGCCCCCUGGUAUUCCGGGGGGCAUGCCUGUCCGAGCGUCAUUGCUGCCCUCAAGCACGGCUUGUGUGUUGGGCCCCGUCCUCCGAUCCCGGGGGACGGGCCCGAAAGGCAGCGGCGGCACCGCGUCCGGUCCUCGAGCGUAUGGGGCUUUGUCACCCGCUCUGUAGGCCCGGCCGGCGCUUGCCGAUCAACCCAAAUUUUUAUCCAGGUUGACCUCGGAUCAGGUAGGGAUACCCGCUGAACUUAAGCAUAUCAAUAAGCGGAGGA
rnacentral:misc_RNA from 1 species